rnacentral:lncRNA from 10 species
AUAGAAAUGCUAAAAGCUUCACGCAUUGUUUAAGUACUGGAACUGAGGACAUCAGCUCGCUGAGGACAGGAGCCAGUGGUGAGACAGAGCCUGGAAGAAAAAGACGGGCCUGGAAGGCAAAGCGUGGUCCUUGCCCACGGUGGAACCCUGCCAAGUGGACUAGGAAGAGAUGGGGGCUGAGCUGCCUUCUGGGGAAGGUGGGUCCUCUUAUCUAGGAGUGUUUUGUUUUUCUGGUCACUGUGACAGGUCAGGGCAUGCAAGGAUGAAGGUAGUUGUCAGAUGCUGGGGCCUGGGGGAGAAUGAGUAGGAGAGAGAAGAGACCACAAGUCGGGAGGAAGGUGACAGGGAGGGAAGCCGACCCGCCCAGGAGGCCUAGUUGCGAAGAACACAUGUAUUUCUAGGAAGGAUUUUGACAUUCUUUUGCUGUGGUGUGUACAUUACGAGCCCCCUCCCCCACUUCAGUCUCCCUACCACCUCCUUCCCCCCACUCCCUUCAGAAAAGUCUGCGUGUUUCUCCUAUGAGUCAUUUAUUGCU